AGAGUUUGAUCAUGGCUCAGGAUGAACGCUGGCGGUAUGCCUAACACAUGCAAGUCGAACGAUGUCUUCGGACAUAGUGGCGGACGGGUGAGUAACGCGUGAGAAUCUGCCUCUAGGAUGGGGAUAACGGUUGGAAACGACCGCUAACACCCAAUAUGCCGUAAGGUGAAAAAUUUAUUGCCUGGAGAGGAGCUCGCGUCUGAUUAGCUAGUUGGUGGGGUAAGAGCUCACCAAGGCCUCGAUCAGUAGCUGGUCUGAGAGGAUGAGCAGCCACACUGGGACUGAGACACGGCCCAGACUCCUACGGGAGGCAGCAGUGGGGAAUUUUCCGCAAUGGGCGAAAGCCUGACGGAGCAAUACCGCGUGAGGGAGGAAUGCCUUUGGGUUGUAAACCUCUUUUCUCAGGGAAGAAGAUCUGACGGUACCUGAGGAAUAAGUAUCGGCUAACUCCGUGCCAGCAGCCGCGGUAAUACGGAGGAUGCAAGCGUUAUCCGGAAUCAUUGGGCGUAAAGCGUCCGCAGGUGGUUUCCAAAGUCUGCUGUUAAAGACUGGAGCUCAACUCCGGAACGGCGGUGGAAACUUGGAAACUAGAGUUCGGUAGGGGUAGCAGGAAUUCCCAGUGUAGCGGUGAAAUGCGUAGAUAUUGGGAAGAACAUCGGUGGCGAAGGCGUGCUACUGGACCGUAACUGACACUCAGGGACGAAAGCUAGGGGAGCGAAAGGGAUUAGAUACCCCUGUAGUCCUAGCUGUAAACGAUGGAAACCAGGUGUGGCUUGUAUCGACCCGA
rnacentral:rRNA from 1 species